rnacentral:rRNA from 1 species
AGUUUCGAUCCUGCUCAGGAUGAACGCUGGCGGCGUGCUUAACUACAUGGCAAGUUCGAACGAAGGUCGAUUUUAGCGGAAGUUUUCGGAUGAAGCUAGAUUGACUGAGUGGCGGACGGGUGAGUAACGCGUGGUAACCUGCCUCAUACAGGGGGAUAACAGUUAGAAAUGACUGCUAAUACCGCAUAAGCGCACGAGGAUGCAUGUUCUUGUGUGAAAAACUCCGGUGGUAUGAGAUGGACCCGCGUCUGAUUAGCUAGUUGAGGGGUAACGGCCCACCAAGGCGACGAUCAGUAGCCGACCUGAGAGGGUGACCGGCCACAUUGGGACUGAGACACGGCCCAAACUCCUACGGGAGGCAGCAGUGGGGAAUAUUGCACAAUGGGGGAAACCCUGAUGCAGCAACGCCGCAUGAGUGAAGAAGUAUUUCGGUAUGUAAAGCUCUACCAGCAGGGAAGAAGAUGACGGUACCUGAGUAAGAAGCCCCGGCUAACUACGUG